GACAGAGGCCCCGAGCGUUAGUCGGAAUUACUGGGCUUAAAGGGUGCGUAGGCUGGCGUGUAAGUGUCUCGUGAAAGCCCCGGGCUCAACCCGGGAACCGCGGGGCAUACUGCACGUCUUGAAGUAGCUAGAGGCCGGUAGAACGAUCGGUGGAGCGGUGGAAUGCGUAGAGAUCGAUCGGAAUGCCAAGGGUGAAGACAACCGGCUGGGGCUUACUUGACGCUGAGGCACGAAAGCGUGGGGAUCAAACAGG
rnacentral:rRNA from 1 species